AGCUCCGACCAUGUCUGCUCUGAUUUCAAUUCUCUCUGUUCUGAAAUCUUCCAGAUGCUUCUGGAUAUUUUCCCUCUCUUGCUAACAAUAAAAUCUUCCCCCCAGUAACAAAGCAGCCGUGCCGGCGGUUUCUUUACUGUGUCCCUGACGCACAUUACCCCCCCCUUUUCCAGGGCCGCACCACCGCUGCAGACUUAAGCUGGUGAACCGUAAAGGAGGCGCAGUGUGGGGCACGGCUCGCAGUGUAGGUAAAAUUUCAGAAGCUAUGGCCCUGGACCCUGCAGCUUCCAGGAUGCUGAUGCACAAAGAGAGCCCAAGUACCGCUUCUGAACCCCCACUAAGGAGUGAGUGAUGGCAGCCCAGAAGGGUGUGCCCGUGUCCAAACACUGGGAUCUGGCAGAGAAGAGUGUGCCCAACCAUCAUACCACGAAUGCCACACAGUCUCUUAAGUGUCGAGGUCUCGGUGUUAGAGGGGAGCUUGCCCAGAGACAUUUCUACUGGGUCCCUACCACCUAGGGCGUCCAGCACCUCCAUCAAGGUCCAGUUUCUCCUGCGAUCACCCACGAUGUCCUGAGACCGGCUACUCAGAAGAAAACCACAGUCCAGAGACUUUCAAGGAACAGAGAUCAUGUGCCUACAUCUCCAAACUGUGGUCUAACAGUUUCUCUAAAAGGUCGGCUAUUAUUUAUAGACUGGGAAAUGCAUCAUUCAAGUGUGCAGAGUGGAUUUGUACAAAUUCAUGCACUCGGGGGCUGCCACCUGGAGAGAGCUGGGGCCUAGGAUGCUGGGAGCUGACCUCCAGGGAGUGUGGAGGGCAUUCUUCUUCUGAACAAGCCAGGAGUUCCAGCCUCAGCACCACAGGAAACAGAUACAGUGCUGCCUGGUCCAGGUGGCUGCUCUGCGGUCACAUCAUGCUGAUGGGAGCUAGAAACGGCCCACUGACCACACAACUUUUCUGUACAUCUGGAGUGAUAGCAGUUAGUCAAUCUGCUUUGCAGCUGGGAAACUGAUGAACUCUUAAGUGUAGAUCAACAAAGUCCACUGGGGAAAACGUGUUAGAAAUGCUGUUAAUCUGUAUUUGAAAGUAUUUCUGUACAAAAUAAAUAUUGCCUCUGUGUUGGCAAUGUUC